UACGGAGGGUGCGAGCGUUAUCCGGAUUUAUUGGGUUUAAAGGGUGCGUAGGCGGGCUGUUAAGUCAGCGGUCAAAUGUCGGGGCUCAACCCCGGCCUGCCGUUGAAACUGGUGGCCUCGAGUGGGCGAGAAGUAUGCGGAAUGCGUGGUGUAGCGGUGAAAUGCAUAGAUAUCACGCAGAACUCCGAUUGCGAAGGCAGCAUACCGGCGCCCGACUGACGCUGAGGCACGAAAGCGUGGGUAUCGAACAGG
rnacentral:rRNA from 1 species